rnacentral:lncRNA from 1 species
UAUAAUAUGUGUGUGUAUACACACAUUCACGCACGCAUGCGCGCGCGCACACACACACAUAUAUAUAUAUAUAUUGAUAAAGUCUCCACCAAAAUUUGCAUCUCUCUUAAAUACAGCAUCUUUUCCGUCUUUAGAAAAAGCUCCAGCAAACCCUCUCAAAUAUACUCUCAUUUCUUAAAUCUCCCCUGCCUACUUUUUUUCUAAUACACAUGCAUAGCACAUGCAAUUAAAAUACUAGUGUAUAUAUGUACACGUACGUCUCAUAUUAUAUUAGUAGUGCGUUGAGCCUG